rnacentral:tRNA from 1 species
UAGACAUAGUUUAACCAAAACCCUGGGCUGUGGUCCCAGAAACAAAGAAUUAAGCCCUUUUGUCAACC